GAUGAACGCUAGCUACAGGCUUAACACAUGCAAGUCGAGGGGCAUUAGGAAGAAAGCUUGCUUUCUUUGCUGGCGACCGGCGCACGGGUGAGUAACACGUAUCCAACCUGCCCUUUACUCGGGGAUAGCCUUUCGAAAGAAAGAUUAAUACCCGAUAGCAUAAUGAUUCCGCAUGGUUUCAUUAUUAAAGGAUUCCGGUAAAGGAUGGGGAUGCGUUCCAUUAGGUUGUUGGUGAGGUAACGGCCCACCAAGCCUUCGAUGGAUAGGGGUUCUGAGAGGAAGGUCCCCCACAUUGGAACUGAGACACGGUUCAAACUCCUACGGGAGGCAGCAGUGAGGAAUAUUGGUCAAUGGGCGUUAGCCUGAACCAGCCAAGUAGCGUGAAGGAUGAAGGCUCUAUGGGUCGUAAACUUCUUUUAUAUAAGAAUAAAGUGCAGUAUGUAUACUGUUUUGUAUGUAUUAUAUGAAUAAGGAUCGGCUAACUCCGUGCCAGCAGCCGCGGUAAUACGGAGGAUCCGAGCGUUAUCCGGAUUUAUUGGGUUUAAAGGGAGCGUAGGUGGACUGGUAAGUCAGUUGUGAAAGUUUGCGGCUCAACCGUAAAAUUGCAGUUGAUACUGUCAGUCUUGAGUACAGUAGAGGUGGGCGGAAUUCGUGGUGUAGCGGUGAAAUGCUUAGAUAUCACGAAGAACUCCGAUUGCGAAGGCAGCUCACUGGACUGCAACUGACACUGAUGCUCGAAAGUGUGNGUAUCAAACAGG
rnacentral:rRNA from 1 species